rnacentral:sRNA from 1 species
GCCAGGCACAGUUGCGCAUGCCUGUACUCCAAGUGGCUUGGGAGGCUGAGGCAGGAGGUUUGUGAGUUCAAAGUCAGUCUCAGCAAUUUAGCGAGGCACUUAGCAACUCAGCAAGAUUCUGUCUCUA